GUCAGGAUGGCCGAGUGGUCUAAGGCGUGAGAGGGCGUGGGUUCAAAUCCCACUUCUGACA
rnacentral:tRNA from 1 species